rnacentral:rRNA from 1 species
GACGAACGCUGGCGGCUUGCUUAACACAUGCAAGUCGAACGGAAAUGCCCUGCUUUUGUGGGGUGCUCGAGUGUCGAACGGGUGAUUAUCAAGUGAUUAACCUGCCCUUGACUUUGGGUUAACUUCAGGAAACUGGUGCUAAUACCGGAUAGUAGCUCCUGCUGCAUGGUGGGUUUUGUAAAGUUUCGGCGGUUGGGGAUGGACUCGCGGCUUAUCAGCUUGUUGGUGGGGUAGUGGCUUACCAAGACUUUGACGGUUAGCAGGCGUGAGAGGGGGACCGGCAACAAUGGGACUGAGAUACGGCCCAGACUGCUACGGGAGGCAGAAGUGGGGAAUAUUGAAAAAUGGGCGGAAGCCUGAUGCAGCAACGCCGCGUGCGGGAGGAAGGACUUCGGGUUGUAAACAGCUUUCGCCUGUGACGAAGCGUGAGUGACGGUAAGAGGUAAAGAAGCAAAGGCUAACUACGUG